GUGCCCUGUUGCAAUCCAACUUAACGAUGCGAAAGUAGGCCUUUGCCAAAGCGACCAAUUACACGCUAACUUUGAAGUACCCAUUAAAUGGGUUUCUUGUACCCAUUUUUAUUUCUAGUACUGAGUUGUCAGAAAAAGGGUAUUAUUUUUUGACACUAAAAAGGGUACGUUUUACUCUUCUUGAAGAAUGAGUUCCGUCAACAAUAAUGGGUAAAAAAGCCACUUGUCGUUGUUUGGGGCAGCAACAUUGAAAUUUUUUGCCGCUGUUCAUAUUGUAUUAAUUAAUUGAAAGAACAAUGCAAACCCCUCGAAGAAGCAUGAGAAGCAGCAAUUUAAGUGUUAUUUUUCAUCCAAGAUCUGGAACCGGAAGACACGCAGUAAGAUCCAGGAAUACAGAUGGACUCACAAGCAAGUCACCGUAUUGAUGUUCGAAUUGACCCUUUAUAAAUGAUCCAAUAAAAUGAUUUUUAUUAGACUGUA